GGCGGGGCCUACGCGUCACUACACCACCAGUCGAGUUGCCGCAGACUCAGGUGCCCCCUAGGGUCAGAGGAAGGCAGCAGUGCACAGCCAAGAGGGAUCUGUUUCCAUGUUCAUUACAAAAGGCCAACAGGCAAGACUGUACCUGGGUUUUGGAUGAGGAGAACAGGAAGCGCCUUUCCGAAAUGUGUGACUCUGCACACUGUCUUCGCCACUGGCGUCUUUGUACCCAAAACUCUGCUUUAAAUACGAGAUGGACUUAAAUACUGAGUUGAACUUCCAACUAUGAAUUCUGAUUCCCGACCUAAUUGGUCACAUGCGCAGAACCUAACCAAUCAAGCCAGCCAAGCCGGGAGAGCUCAACUGACUGAGGGAUCUGUUUCCAUGCUCAUUACAAAAGGCCAACAGGCAAGACUGUACCUGGGUUUUGGAUGAGGAGAACAGGAAGCGCCUUUCCGAAAUGUGUGACUCUGCACACUGUCUUCGCCACUGGCGUCUUUAAAUACAAGAUGGACGCCAACUGUCUCAGCUAUCUAACCCAAACUUCCAACUAUGAGUCCUGAUUCCCGACCUAAUUGGUCACAUGCGCAGAACCUAACCAAUCAAGCCAGCCAAGCCGGGAGAGCUCAACUGACUGGUAAGGUUGAAGUCCUGUGACCUGUGUGGGUCUGUGGUGAGGAGGCUCUAAGGAGGGCGGGCUAUGCAGAUGUAAUACUGUCCCUACUGAACAAAGGGUUUCACUACCUCGUGGCCAUCCUUUCUUAUGAUCCAACUAAACAUGCAGGCCCGCCAUUUUAUGUUCCAGACGCUGAACUUAAAAGGUUAUUUGGUACAAAGUGCAGCAUUCGGUUCCUUGAGGAGGCUGAUGCUUUGGAAGAACGACACAAAGCCUGGGGACUUGAUUACAUUUUUGAAAAACUGUAUCUCCUUACAGAAAAGUAAAACACAGCUGCUGGUGGCGGCCACGCCUUUAAUCCCAGCAUGCGGGAGGCAGGGGCAGGUGGAUCUCUGUGAAUUCCAGGCCAGCCUGGUGUAUAAGCUCCAGGGCAGCCUGGGCUAUGCAGAGAAACUCUGUCUUAGAAAAAACAAAAGCAAAACAAAAAUAAUCAAUCCUUGUAUGAGUUUUUGAAAAAUAAAAGAUUAUGUUAAUGCUUGAAAGUAUAAGCACUUGGAAUUUUCUUAUGCAGCGCACAGAUCUUUGCUCGUGAGUUUUUAAGUGAAAUUGCACAUUAAAUACCGUGUGUCUUUUUAUAGUCAGCAUGUAUUACUUCCAUAAUCAAAAAUCAAAAAUCUAAUGCCUGUAACUUUAAGCAACAAAUAAAAAAUAUAUAUUAUGUAUGAAAACUGGAGUCACCGAGGAAAUGUAAGAUCUUAGUAGGAUUUGGGGUAGUCUAAAUCGUUUAUUAAAAUUGUACUUCACUAUAAAUCCUAAUCUACUUCGGUCCUGGGAUCCCAGCUUCACAUGUUUCCCCACUUGAAUAAUUUUAUAUAUAACAGAAUCAAGAAACAAUACAGAACAAUUUUAAACCAACCUAUAUGGAAAAAAGUAUUUUCUCCAAAUUAUAAGAAUAAAACCUUAAAAAAAAUUUUUUUUGAGUUUGGCAAUUUUUUUUCUUUUAGUUUAGUCUUACUUAGAUGGGUGGCACAGGGCUAUUUAU